GUUUGACAAAAACUGAUGGUCUCCAGACAAACCACCGGCCCUUUGUCGUAGUUUAUUUGGCAACUGGGGUUAAAGUUGAGACAGACAGAAUACGAUUUCGUUACCCCUGGGGGGAAAAGGCCUCGGACCCGACCUGCCUUAACGGUUAAUGUUGGGUGCAUUUUUCACGAAAAGAAAUUUCCCCCCAGUGGAGUUCGGGCUGAUAUGUUUACUUCGGGAGAGGCGAAGAAGCGAGACGAGCAUCACGACGUCGCCCCCACGAUUUCCGGGAUCUUACCUGAUGGGGAUUUCAUGAUUGAGCCGGUGGAUGUCUUUUAAUGUAUAAUGUGCCUCAAAUAUACUUUAGGCCAAUGUAUUUA